rnacentral:rRNA from 1 species
GACGAACGCUGGCGGCGUGCUUAACACAUGCAAGUCGAACGGAAAGGCCCUGCUUUUGUGGGGUGCUCGAGUGGCGAACGGGUGAGUAACACGUGAGUAACCUGCCCUUGACUUUGGGAUAACUUCAGGAAACUGGGGCUAAUACCGGAUAGGAGCUCCUGCUGCAUGGUGGGGGUUGGAAAGUUUCGGCGGUUGGGGAUGGACUCGCGGCUUAUCAGCUUGUUGGUGGGGUAGUGGCUUACCAAGGCUUUGACAGGUAGCCGGCCUGAGAGGGUGACCAGCCACAUUGGGACUGAGAUACGGACCAGACUCCUACGGGAGGCAGCAGUGGGGAAUAUUGCACAAUGGGCGGAAGCCUGAUGCGGCGACGCCGCGUGCGGGAUGACGGCCUUCGGGUUGUAAACCGCUUUCGCCUGUGACGAAGCGUGAGUGACGGUAAUGGGUAAAGAAGCACCGGCUAACUACGUG